rnacentral:rRNA from 1 species
CUCAGGAUGAACGCCGGCGGUGUGCCUAAUACAUGCAAGUCGUACGCACUGGCCCAACUGAUUGAUGGUGCUUGCACCUGAUUGACGAUGGAUCACCAGUGAGUGGCGGACGGGUGAGUAACACGUAGGUAACCUGCCCCAGAGCGGGGGAUAACAUUUGGAAACAGAUGCUAAUACCGCAUAACAACAAAAGCCACAUGGCUUUUGUUUGAAAGAUGGCUUUGGCUAUCACUCUGGGAUGGACCUGCGGUGCAUUAGCUAGUUGGUAAGGUAACGGCUUACCAAGGCGAUGAUGCAUAGCCGAGUUGAGAGACUGAUCGGCCACAAUGGAACUGAGACACGGUCCAUACUCCUACGGGAGGCAGCAGUAGGGAAUCUUCCACAAUGGGCGCAAGCCUGAUGGAGCAACACCGCGUGAGUGAAGAAGGGUUUCGGCUCGUAAAGCUCUGUUGUUGGAGAAGAACGUGCGUGAGAGUAACUGUUCACGCAGUGACGGUAUCCAACCAGAAAGUCACGGCUAACUACGUGCAGCAGCCGCGGUAAUACGUAGGUGGCAAGCGUUAUCCGGAUUUAUUGGGCGUAAAGCGAGCGCAGGCGGUUGCUUAGGUCUGAUGUGAAAGCCUUCGGCUUAACCGAAGAAGUGCAUCGGAAACCGGGCGACUUGAGUGCAGAAGAGGACAGUGGAACUCCAUGUGUAGCGGUGGAAUGCGUAGAUAUAUGGAAGAACACCAGUGGCGAAGGCGGCUGUCUGGUCUGCGACUGACGCUGAGGCUCGAAAGCAUGGGUAGCGAACAGGAUUAGAUACCCUGGUAGUCCAUGCUGUAAACGAUGAGUGCUAGGUGUUGGAGGGUUUCCGCCCUUCAGUGCCGGAGCUAACGCAUUAAGCACUCCGCCUGGGGAGUACGACCGCAAGGUUGAAACUCAAAGGAAUUGACGGGGGCCCGCACAAGCGGUGGAGCAUGUGGUUUAAUUCGAAGCUACGCGAAGAACCUUACCAGGUCUUGACAUCUUGCGCUAACCUUAGAGAUAAGGCGUUCCCUUCGGGGACGCAAUGACAGGUGGUGCAUGGUCGUCGUCAGCUCGUGUCGUGAGAUGUUGGGUUGAGUCCCGCAACGAGCGCAACCCUUGUUACUAGUUGCCAGCAUUAAGUUGGGCACUCUAGUGAGACUGCCGGUGACAAACCGGAGGAAGGUGGGGACGACGUCAGAUCAUCAUGCCCCUUAUGACCUGGGCUACACACGUGCUACAAUGGGCGGUACAACGAGUCGCAAACUCGCGAGAGUAAGCUAAUCUCUUAAAGCCGUUCUCAGUUCGGACUGUAGGCUGCAACUCGCCUACACGAAGUCGGAAUCGCUAGUAAUCGCGGAUCAGCAUGCCGCGGUGAAUACGUUCCCGGGCCUUGUACACACCGCCCGUCACACCAUGGGAGUUUGUAACGCCCAAAGUCGGUGGCCUAACCUUUAUGGAGGGAGCCGCCUAAGGCGGGACAGAUGACUGGGGUGAAGUCGUAACAAGGUA